UGGGUUCUGUGCAAUCAGUGCCCGUGAACCGAGUCAGGGCCGGAAGGCAGCAGCUCUCAGCGGAAUCACCGAUGUGCCGCAGGUAGCCUGAU
rnacentral:SRP_RNA from 1 species